UGAGCAGACUGGGUGGUCGCGGGCCCGAGAGGGCCUGAGGAAAGUCCGGGCUCCACGGGCAGGGUGCUGGGUAACGCCCAGGAGGGGUGACCCUACGGAAAGCGCAACAGAAACAUACCGCCCUCGCUAGUCGGGGGUAAGGGUGAAAUGGCGAGGUAAGAGCUCACCAGCAGCGAGGUGACUCGCUGGCUGUGCAAACCCCACCCGGAGCAAGACCGAAUAGGAGGGAGGCCGGUUUCCCUUAUGGGACGCCGGCAGGGCUGCCCAGCCCGACCCUCGGGUAGGUCGCUGGAGGUGGCGGGUAACUGUCAUCCUAGAUGGAUGGCCAUCACCCACCCAGUGGUGGGUACAGAACCCGGCUUACAGGUCUGCUCAGGCU
rnacentral:RNase_P_RNA from 1 species